GAAUUAACGUGGCAGGUUAGGAGAAUUAACGUGGCCGGUUAGGAGAAUUAACGUGGCAGGUUAGGAGAAUUAACGUGGCCGGUUAGGAGAAUUAACGUGGCCGGUUAGGAGAAUUAACGUGGCAGGUUAGGAGAAUUAACGUGGCCGGUUAGGAGAAUUAACGUGGCCGGUUAGGAGAAUUAACGUGGCAGGUUAGGAGAAUUAACGUGGCAGGUUAGGAGAAUUAACGUGGCAGGUUAGGAGAAUUAACGUGGCAGGUUAGGAGAAUUAACGUGGCAGGUUAGGAGAAUUAACGUGGCAGGUUAGGAGAAUUAACGUGGCAGGUUAGGAGAAUUAACGUGGCAGGUUAGGAGAAUUAACGUGGCAGGUUAGGAGAAUUAACGUGGCCGGUUAGGAGAAUUAACGUGGCCGGUUAGGAGAAUUAACGUGGCAGGUUAGGAGAAUUAACGUGGCCGGUUAGGAGAAUUAACGUGGCCGGUUAGGAGAAUUAACGAAUUAACGUGGCCGGUUAGGAGAAUUAACGAAUUAACGUGGCCGGUUAGGAGAAUUAACGUGGCCGGUUAGGAGAAUUAACGUGGCCGGUUAGGAGAAUUAACGUGGCCGGUUAGGAGAAUUAACGUGGCCGGUUAGGAGAAUUAACGUGGCCGGUUAGGAGAAUUAA